rnacentral:rRNA from 1 species
UACGGAAGGUCCGGGUGUUAUCCGGAUUUAUUGGGUUUAAAGGGAGCGUAGGCCGGAGAUUAAGCGUGUUGUGAAAUGUAGAUGCUCAACGUCUGCACUGCAGCGCGAACUGGUUUCCUUGAGUACGCACAAAGUGGGCGGAAUUCGUGGUGUAGCGGUGAAAUGCUUAGAUAUCACGAAGAACUCCGAUUGCGAAGGCAGCUCACUGGAGCGCAACUGACGCUGAAGCUCGAAAGUGCGGGUAUCGAACAGG